UCGAACGCGUCUUGGUUAUUGAUGUUAAGUGCUUGCAUUUAAUUGAUUUCAUAUUGAGACGAGUGGCGAACUGGUGAGUAACACGUGGGUAACCUGCCCUUGAAGUAAGGGAUAACACUUGGAAACAGGUGCUAAUACCGUAUAACAACCAAAACCACCUGGUUUUGGUUUAAAAGAUGGCUUCGGCUAUCACUUUAGGAUGGACCCGCGGCGUAUUAGCUUGUUGGUAAGGUAACGGCCUACCAAGGCAAUGAUACGUAGCCGACCUGAGAGGGUAAUCGGCCACAUUGGGACUGAGACACGGCCCAAACUCCUACGGGAGGCAGCAGUAGGGAAUCUUCCACAAUGGACGAAAGUCUGAUGGAGCAACGCCGCGUGAGUGAUGAAGGGUUUCGGCUCGUAAAACUCUGUUGUUGGAGAAGAACAGGUGUGAGAGUAACUGUUCACAUCUUGACGGUAUCCAACCAGAAAGCCACGGCUAACUACGUGCCAGCAGCCGCGGUAAUACGUAGGUGGCAAGCGUUGUCCGGAUUUAUUGGGCGUAAAGCGAGCGCAGGCGGUUUCUUAGGUCUGAUGUGAAAGCCUUCGGCUUAACCGGAGAAGUGCAUCGGAAACCAGGAGACUUGAGUGCAGAAGAGGACAGUGGAACUCCAUGUGUAGCGGUGAAAUGCGUAGAUAUAUGGAAGAACACCAGUGGCGAAGGCGGCUGUCUGGUCUGUAACUGACGCUGAGGCUCGAAAGCAUGGGUAGCGAACAGGAUUAGAUACCCUGGUAG
rnacentral:rRNA from 1 species